CGCGCAGGCGGAUUGGUAAGUCACAUGUAAAAGUUCGGGGCUUAACCCCGUGAAGGGUGUGAAACUGCCAAUCUUGAGUGCAGGAGAGGAAAGCGGAAUUCCCAGUGUAGCGGUGAAAUGCGUAGAUAUUGGGAGGAACACCAGUGGCGAAGGCGGCUUUCUGGACUGUAACUGACGCUGAGGCGCGAAAGCCAGGGAAGUGAACGG
rnacentral:rRNA from 1 species